UACACGCUGUGACUAGCAUAUCAAUAAGCGGAGGAAAAGGAACUAACAAGGAUUCCCUUAGUAACGGCGAGUGAAGCGGGAAGAGCUCAAAUUUGAAAUCUUGAAAGGUCACCUUUCACGAAUUGUAGUUUAAAGAAGUGUUUUCUGUUACGAUCGUAAUAUAAGUUCUUUGGAAUAGGACAUCACAGAGGGUGAGAAUCCUGUCUAUGAUUGCGAUUUGUAGCUUUGUGAUACACUUUCAAAGAGUCGGGUUGUUUGGGAAUGCAGCCCAAAACGGGAGGUAAAUUUCUUCUAAGGCUAAAUAUUGGCGAGAGACCGAUAGCGAACAAGUACCGUGAGGGAAAGAUGAAAAGAACUUUGAAAAGAGAGUUAAACUAGUACGUGAAAUUGUCAAAAGGGAAGCGUUUAACACCAGUGUUGUUUUCUCGAAAAUCAACCUCUGUUAGCUUUAUGCAUGUUUGUUUAGACCUAAUCAGCUAUCUUGCAUGUUCUAUUGUUUGCAGUGGUGCACUUUUCAUGUUUACAGGUCAACAUCAGUUUUUUUUACCGUAAAAAAGUUAAAGAAAGGUAGCUCAUGGCUCCGGUCGUGAGUGUUAUAGUCUUUUUCCUAUGCGGUAGGAGAGACUGAGGCCUGCAGUGUAGGCUAUUUGGCUAGAUACUCAGGUGCUAUGUGAUACCAUUUCAUAAACAACUUGUUGAUUAUGUUUUGUCUAUUGCAUACUCGCUUGUACUAUCAUACCUACGCUUAGGAUGUUGAGUAGCGACAUACGCAC
rnacentral:rRNA from 1 species